CUGACAUUGGCAGGAGAUAUCACAAACACCUGGUAAUUGGACCUCAGAUUUUCUUAACUGAUUUUUUCAGAAGAGCAACAAGGAAGGUGAAGGUGUGAAAGCGAGAAAGCAUGCAAAAACAAGUGAAGGACCAGAAAAUGAAAAGUUGGAGGUGGCUAAGG